UACGUAGGGGGCAAGCGUUGUCCGGAAUCAUUGGGCGUAAAGAGCGUGUAGGCGGCCCGAUUAGUCCGCUGUGAAAGUCCAGGGCUCAACCCUGGAAUGCCGGUGGAUACUGUCGGGCUAGAGUCCGGAAGGGGCGAGUGGAAUUCCUGGUGUAGCGGUGAAAUGCGCAGAUAUCAGGAGGAACACCAAUGGCGAAGGCAGCUCGCUGGGACGUGACUGACGCUGAGACGCGAAAGCGUGGGGAGCGAACAGG
rnacentral:rRNA from 1 species